UAUGGGGGGAGCAAGCGUUGUUCGGAUUUACUGGGCGUAAAGGGCGCGUAGGCGGUCAGCACAAGUCAGUUGUGAAAUCUCCGGGCUUAACUCGGAAAGGUCAACUGAUACUGUGCGACUAGAGUGCAGAAGGGGCAACUGGAAUUCUCGGUGUAGCGGUGAAAUGCGUAGAUAUCGAGAGGAACACCUGCGGCGAAGGCGGGUUGCUGGGCUGACACUGACGCUGAUGCGCGAAAGCCAGGGGAGCGAACGGG
rnacentral:rRNA from 1 species